rnacentral:rRNA from 1 species
GACGAACGCUGGCGGCGUGCUUAACACAUGCAAGUCGAACGCUGAAGCUCAGCUUUUGUUGGGUGGAUGAGUGGCGAACGGGUGAGUAACACGUGAGUAACCUGCCCCCUUCUUUGGGAUAACGCCCGGAAACGGGUGCUAAUACGGGAUAUUCACUGAUCUUCGCAUGGGGGUUGGUGGAAAGGUUGGUUCUGGUGGGGGAUGGGCUCGCGGCCUAUCGGCUUGGUGGUGGGGUAAUGGCGUACCAAGGCUUUGACGGGUAGCCGGCGUGAGGGGGCGAGCGGUCACAUUGAGACGGAGCUGCGGCCCAGAGUAGGACGGGGGGCAGCAGUGGGCACUAUUGGACAAUGGCCGACAGCGUGAUGCCGCGUCACCGCGUGAGGGCUGGAGGCCUUCGGGUUGUGAACCUCUUUCGGUCAUGGUCUGGCCGCGACGUGGGUUGUGGUGAGGGUAGUGGGUCAAGAAGCGCCGGCUAACUACGUG